CAGUCGCCACGGUAAAACGGAGGGGGCUAGCGUUGUUCGGAAUUACUGGGCGUAAAGCGCACGUAGGCGGCUUGGUAAGUUAGAGGUGAAAGCCCAGGGCUCAACCCUGGAAUUGCCUUUAAGACUGCCGAGCUAGUAGGUGAGAGAGGUAAGUGGAAUUCCGAGUGUAGAGGUGAAAUUCGUAGAUAUUCGGAAGAACACCAGUGGCGAAGGCGACUGACUGGACAAGUAUUGACGCUGAGGUGCGAAAGCGUGGGGAGCAAACAGGAUUAGAUACCCCUGUAGUCCCUGUCUCUUAUAC
rnacentral:rRNA from 1 species